UGGGGAAUUUUGGACAAUGGGCGAAAGCCUGAUCCAGCAAUGCCGCGUGUGUGAAGAAGGCCUUCGGGUUGUAAAGCACUUUUGUCCGGAAAGAAAUCCUUGGCUCUAAUACAGUCGGGGGAUGACGGUACCGGAAGAAUAAGCACCGGCUAACUACGUGCCAGCAGCCGCGGUAAUACGUAGGGUGCAAGCGUUAAUCGGAAUUACUGGGCGUAAAGCGUGCGCAGGCGGUUUGCUAAGACCGAUGUGAAAUCCCCGGGCUCAACCUGGGAACUGCAUUGGUGACUGGCAGGCUAGAGUAUGGCAGAGGGGGGUAGAAUUCCACGUGUAGCAGUGAAAUGCGUAGAGAUGUGGAGGAAUACCGAUGGCGAAGGCAGCCCCCUGGGCCAAUACUGACGCUCAUGCACGAAAGCGUGGGGAGCAAACAGGAUUAGAUACCCUGGUAGUCCACGCCCUAAACGAUGUCAACUAGUUGUUGGGGACUUCAUUUCCUUAGUAACGUAGCUAACGCGUGAAGUUGACC
rnacentral:rRNA from 1 species